rnacentral:lncRNA from 1 species
GGUAUUGGAAAUCUACAAAGGAUGUCCAGCCAAUGAAGUACCCGUACAUACCAAAGAAAUAAUUAUGCUCUGAAUACAACAGCUACCUAUGCGGAGCCCUCCAGGCCCAUACAAUACCAAGUGCAAUAGUGUAAUUAUAACAGGCUUCAGCACGCAGUGCCGGCUAAUGAUGGCACCACAAGAUCCCCAUCAAUAGACAGCAUUCAGAAGGACCCCAGCGAGUUUGCCUGGCGUGAUCCUGAGUUGCCUGAGGUCAUUCACAUCCUUCAGCACCAGUUCCCAUCUGUUCAGGCAAAUGCAGCAGCCUACCUGCAGCACCUGUGGUUUGGUGACAACAACGUGAAGAUGAAGGUGUGUAGGUUAUGGGGAAUCAAGCUUCUGGUUUACCUUUUGGGCCACAGAGUUUUGGAAGUUCAGAAGAAUGCUUGUGAUGCCCUUCGAAAUCUCUUUUUCGGCAAGUCUACAGGUGAAAAUAAAAUAACAAUGAAGGAUGUUGGUGAGAUAUCUGCCUUGUUGUGACUGUUGAGAAAAUCAAUAUUGAUGCAGAAAUAAGGGAGCUUGUUACAGGAGUUCUUUGGAAUUUAUCCUCACGUGAUGCUGCAAAAAUGACAAUUAUUCGAGAUGUUCUCUCAACUUUAACAAACAAUGUGAUCGUUCCACAUUCUGGAUGGAAUAACUCUUCUUUUGAUGAUGGCCAUAAAAUUAAAUUUCAGACUUCACUAGUUCUGCGUAGUACAACAGGUUGCCUGAGGAACCUCAGCUCUGUGGGGUAAGAAGCUCGGAAGCAAAUGCGGGCCUGUGAGGGGCUGGUGGACUCGCUGUUGCAUGUAACCUACACGUGUAUGAACACAUCCGAUUACGACAGCAAGAUGGAGAAUUGCGUGUGCACCCUGAGGAACCUGUCCUAUUGGCUGGAGCUGCAGGUGCCCCAGGCCCAGUUACUGGGACUGAACGAAUGGGAUGACUUACUAGAAAAAGUUUCCCAGCGAAGACUCUGAGCCAACCUGCUGGGGGAAGAAAAAAGAAAAAGAAAAAGAGGACUCCACAAGAAGAUCAAUAGGAUGAAGUCGGUCCUAUCCCAGCACUGUCGAAGUCCCCCAAAGGGGCUGAGAUGCUGUAGCACCCAUCGGUGGUGAAGCUGUAUCUGACUCUUUUAGCAGAAAGUUCCAACCCAGCCACCUUGGAAGGCUCUGCCGGAUCUCUCCAGAACCUCUCUGCUGGCAACUGUAAGUUUUCAGGAUAUAUCUGGGCAGCCAUCCGAAAAUAAAAGGGGCUCCCCAUCCUUGUGGAACUUCUGAGAAUGGAUAACGAUAGAGUUGUUUCUUCCAUGGCAACUGCCUUGAGGAAGAUGACACUAGAUGUUCGCAACAAGGAGCUCAUAGGCAAAUACACCAUGCAAGACCUGGUCAACCAGCUUCUCUGUGGCAAUGGCCCCAGUAUCUUGUCUGAUGAGUCCAUGCAGCCAUCUGCUGUGCUCUGCACGAGGUCACCAGCAAAAACAUGGAGAAAGCCAAAGCCCUGGCCAACUCGGGAGGCAUAAAGAAACUAGUGAACAUAACCAAAGGCAGGGGCGACAGAUCAUCUCUGAAAGUAGUGAAGGCAGUAGCCCAGGUCUUGAAUACAUUAUGGCAAUAUCGGGACCUCUGGAGCAUUUAUAAAAAGGAUGGGUGUAAUCAGAACCAUUUUAUUACACCUGUGUCGACAUUGGAGCAAGACUGAUUCAAAUCACAUCCUUCCUUGUCUACCACCAACCAAAAGAUGUCACCCAUCAUUCAGUCAGGCUCCAGCAAACCUUCACCAAUUUACAUCAGUUCAUAUUCCUCACCAGCAAGAGAACUAAAUAGACAGCUACAGCAUCAACAGCUGUAUUAUAGUCAAGAUAACUCCAACAAAAUAACUUUGAUUCAUACAGAUUGUAUUUGCAGUCUCCUCAUAGCUAUGAAGACCCUUAUUUUGAUGACUGAGUUCACUUUCCAGCUUCUACUGAUUAGUCAACAAGUAUGGACUGAAAUCGACCACAAAUUAUGUAGACUUUUAUUCCAUUAAACGACCUUCUUACAGAGCAGAACAGUACCCAGGAUCCCCAGACUCAUGGCUGCAGCAUCAAGACACCCAACAGAAGAACUCUUUCUUUUUAACCUUGUUUGGAUUGAGAUGA